UCCCUGGUAGCUCAGACGGUAAAGCGUCUGCCUACAAUGCUGGAGACCCAGGUUCGAUCCCUGGGUCGGGAA
rnacentral:tRNA from 1 species